rnacentral:rRNA from 1 species
GAUGAACGCUGGCGGCGUGCCUAAUACAUGCAAGUCGAGCGAACAGACGAGGAGCUUGCUCCUCUGACGUUAGCGGCGGACGGGUGAGUAACACGUGGAUAACCUACCUAUAAGACUGGGAUAACUUCGGGAAACCGGAGCUAAUACCGGAUAAUAUAUUGAACCGCAUGGUUCAAUAGUGAAAGACGGUUUUGCUGUCACUUAUAGAUGGAUCCGCGCCGCAUUAGCUAGUUGGUAAGGUAACGGCUUACCAAGGCAACGAUGCGUAGCCGACCUGAGAGGGGGAUCGGCCACACUGGAACUGAGACACGGUCCAGACUCCUACGGGAGGCAGCAGUAGGGAAUCUUCCGCAAUGGGCGAAAGCCUGACGGAGCAACGCCGCGUGAGUGAUGAAGGUCUGCGGAUCGUAAAACUCUGUUAUUAGGGAAGAACAAAUGUGUAAGUAACUAUGCACGUCUUGACGGUACCUAAUCAGAAAGCCACGGCUAACUACGU